AGACGUCUGUCUCUACUUGUCUGAUGCUAAAGUCCAAAACACAGCAGCUCAGACCUUACAGAACUCUCUGAGAGACUGGAUCCAGAAACCUGACUAACAAAUACCAUGAUUUUUUUUAUAUUUGAUCAUCUUUACUAAAUUUAUGUCAAAGUUGUUGAAUAGAUUUGUUGUAUUUUAGAGUUGACUAUAACUUAAACACUUGAUACUGGAUCAUAUCAUCAACCAGUGGAGUUUACAGUUAGAGACCAGAUCAGAUGAAGUCUAGUGGAACCAGGUAGUGAUGGUGGUUUAAUUUCUGAGCAGGAAAUGACAUUCAUAUAAAAGUGUUUGUUCAGUCAACUGGGCCAGUGAAUGUAGUUUAGUCCCUGGAGAUAAAGUGAAGAUAUAAAAUGGAGAUGAAUAAGUUAAUGUGCUCUUUGUGUGUGAUAAGAUCCUGUCAUAUCUUUGGUUCUUCUUUUUUUUUAAGAGAAGUUAAAGUUAAAGUAUUUGUAAAGCAUAUCAUUUUCUGAAGUGUUCCUAUUUUUCUUUAUUUAUAAAAACGAAGUAAAAAUAAAAUUCUCUUUCUUUGUA